AUUGAACGCUGGCGGCAGGCCUAACACAUGCAAGUCGAACGGUAACAGAAAGCAGCUUGCUGCUUUGCUGACGAGUGGCGGACGGGUGAGUAAUGUCUGGGAAACUGCCUGAUGGAGGGGGAUAACUACUGGAAACGGUAGCUAAUACCGCAUAACGUCGCAAGACCAAAGAGGGGGACCUUCGGGCCUCUUGCCAUCGGAUGUGCCCAGAUGGGAUUAGCUUGUUGGUGGGGUAACGGCUCACCAAGGCGACGAUCCCUAGCUGGUCUGAGAGGAUGACCAGCCACACUGGAACUGAGACACGGUCCAGACUCCUACGGGAGGCAGCAGUGGGGAAUAUUGGACAAUGGGCGCAAGCCUGAUGCAGCCAUGCCGCGUGUAUGAAGAAGGCCUUCGGGUUGUAAAGUACUUUCAGCGGGGAGGAAGGGAGUAAAGUUAAUACCUUUGCUCAUUGACGUUACCCGCAGAAGAAGCACCGGCUAACUCCGUG
rnacentral:rRNA from 1 species